rnacentral:rRNA from 1 species
AGAGUUUGAUCCUGGCUCAGGAUGAACGCUAGCGGCAGGCUUAACACAUGCAAGUCGAGGGGCAGCAUAAUGGAUAGCAAUAUCUAUGGUGGCGACCGGCGCACGGGUGCGUAACGCGUAUGCAACCUACCUUUAACAGGGGGAUAACACUGAGAAAUUGGUACUAAUACCCCAUAAUAUCAUAGAAGGCAUCUUUUAUGGUUGAAAAUUCCGAUGGUUAGAGAUGGGCAUGCGUUGUAUUAGCUAGUUGGUGGGGUAACGGCUCACCAAGGCGACGAUACAUAGGGGGACUGAGAGGUUAACCCCCCACACUGGUACUGAGACACGGACCAGACUCCUACGGGAGGCAGCAGUGAGGAAUAUUGGUCAAUGGACGCAAGUCUGAACCAGCCAUGCCGCGUGCAGGAUGACGGCUCUAUGAGUUGUAAACUGCUUUUGUACGAGGGUAAACGCAGAUACGUGUAUCUGUCUGAAAGUAUCGUACGAAUAAGGAUCGGCUAACUCCGUGCCAGCAGCCGCGGUAAUACGGAGGAUCCGAGCGUUAUCCGGAUUUAUUGGGUUUAAAGGGUGCGUAGGCGGUUUGAUAAGUUAGAGGUGAAAUUUCGGGGCUCAACCCUGAACGUGCCUCUAAUACUGUUGAGCUAGAGAGUAGUUGCGGUAGGCGGAAUGUAUGGUGUAGCGGUGAAAUGCUUAGAGAUCAUACAGAACACCGAUUGCGAAGGCAGCUUACCAAACUAUAUCUGACGUUGAGGCACGAAAGCGUGGGGAGCAAACAGGAUUAGAUACCCUGGUAGUCCACGCAGUAAACGAUGAUAACUCGUUGUCGGCGAUACACAGUCGGUGACUAAGCGAAAGCGAUAAGUUAUCCACCUGGGGAGUACGUUCGCAAGAAUGAAACUCAAAGGAAUUGACG